rnacentral:lncRNA from 1 species
AGCCAUCAACCCGUGAACACAAGGAUGCGUUCUGUAGCCAUGGAUUCAACCAACCACAGACCAAAAAUCUUCCCAAAAAGUCUAUCUUCACUGGGCAGGUCUUCAGCCCUGCAGUGAACAGCUCUCCAUCUGGGCGGUUGUGAAGAGGAUAAACAGCACAGAGCAGAGCAUUGUUGCCCAGCUGAUGUGCCUCCCUCUUACGGGAGCCCUGCCCAGUCCCCAGCAGAACAUCUGUGGCUACAAUAGUUUCAUUUCACAUUUGGACUCUGUCACAGGCAUCAUCAUGGGCAUUGAAUAUGUUCCCAAAGGAUUGUAAACAAGAGCUGUUUAACGAGACGUAC